GUAAGCUACUAAGAGCAAAUGGUGGAUGCCUUGGCUGGUAGAGGCGAUGAAGGACGUACUAGACUGCGAUAAGCUAUGGGGAGCUGUCAAGAAGCUUUGAUCCAUAGAUUUCCGAAUGGGGCAACCCAGUGUAUAGUGAUAUACACUACCUAUAUGGAGCGAACGUGGGGAAUUGAAACAUCUUAGUACCCACAGGAAAAGAAAUCAAAAGAGAUUACGCUAGUAGCGGCGAGCGAACGCGUAAGAGGGCAAACCACUAGUUUACUAGUGGGGUUGUAGGACUGCAUAAAAGACUAAAACAUGAUAGUAAAACAAUCUGGAAAGAUUGAGCAUAGAGGGUGAUACUCCCGUAUACGAAAUCAUCUUUUUACUUAGCAGUAUCCUGAGUAGGGCGAGGCACGUGAAACCUUGUCUGAAUCUGGGAAGACCACUUUCCAACCCUAAAUACUACUACUAGACCGAUAGUGCACAAGUACCGUGAGGGAAAGGUGAAAAGAACUGAGGUGAUCAGAGUGAAAUAGAACCUGAAACCAUUUGCUUACAAUCAUUCAGAGCACGAUUCUUUAUGACGUGUGAUGGACUGCCUUUUGCAUAAUGAGCCUGCGAGUUGUGGUGUCUGGCAAGGUUAAGGAAACCCGGAGCCGUAGCGAAAGCGAGUCUUAAUAGGGCGUUUAGUCAGAUGCUGCAGACCCGAAACGAUGUGAUCUAUCCAUGAGCAGGUUGAAACCGGUGUAAAAACCGGCGGAGGACCGAACCCGCUGACGUUGAAAAGUCUUGGGAUGACUUGUGGAUAGGGGUGAAAGGCCAAUCAAACAUCGUGAUAGCUGGUUCUCUCCGAAAUAUAUUGAGGUAUAGCGUUGUGUCGUAACUAUAAGGGGUAGAGCACUGAAUGGGCUAGGGCGUAUACCAAUGUACCAAACCCUAUCAAACUCCGAAUACUUAUAGUGUAAUCACAGCAGUCAGGCGGCGAGUGAUAAAAUCCGUCGUCAAGAGGGGAACAACCCAGACUACCGACUAAGGUCCCCAAAUCUUAUUUAAGUGGAAAACGAUGUGAAGUUACUGAAACAACCAGGAGGUUGGCUUAGAAGCAGCCAUCCUUUAAAGAUAGCGUAAUAGCUCACUGGUCUAGUGAUUUUGCGCGGAAAAUAUAACGGGGCUAAAAUAAGUACCGAAGUCGUAGGCUUGAUUUAUCAAGCGGUAGGAGAGCGUUGCAUUCAGCGUUGAAGGUGUACCGGUAAGGAGCGCUGGAGCGGAUGCAAGUGAGCAUGCAGGCAUGAGUAGCGAUAAUUAAUGUGAGAAUCAUUAACGCCGUAAACCCAAGGUUUCCUACGCGAUGCUCGUCAUCGUAGGGUUAGUCGGGUCCUAAGCAAAGUCCGAAAGGGGUAUGCGAUGGAAAAUUGGUUAAUAUUCCAAUACCUUUGAUUAUGUGCGAUGGAAGGACGCUUAAAGCUAGUGGGGCUAACUGAUGGAAUAGUUAGUCUAAGGAUGUAGGUUGAGUUAUAGGCAAAUCCGUAACUCUUUAUCUGAAAUCUUAAAGGCUUACAAAACUCUUCGGAGUAGCGUAAGAACCCAUGAUGCUAUCGAGCCAAGAAAAGUUUCUAAGUUUAGUAAUCAAAGCCCGUACCGUAAACCGACACAGGUGGGUGGGAUGAGUAUUCUAAGGCGCGUGGAAGAACUCUCUUUAAGGAACUCUGCAAAAUAGCACCGUAUCUUCGGUAUAAGGUGUGCCUACCAGGGUGUUAAAGCCCUAGAGGUUACAACAAAGAGUCCCUCCCGACUGUUUACCAAAAACACAGCACUCUGCUAACUCGUAAGAGGAUGUAUAGGGUGUGACGCCUGCCCGGUGCUCGAAGGUUAAUUGAUGGGGUUAGCAUUAGCGAAGCUCUUGAUCGAAGCCCGAGUAAACGGCGGCCGUAACUAUAACGGUCCUAAGGUAGCGAAAUUCCUUGUCGAUUAAAUAUCGACCUGCAUGAAUGGCGUAACGAGAUGGGAGCUGUCUCAAAGAGGGAUCCAGUGAAAUUGUAGUGGAGGUGAAAAUUCCUCCUACCCGCGGCAAGACGGAAAGACCCCGUGGACCUUUACUAUAGCUUGACACUGCUACUUGGAUAAAAAUGCGCAGGAUAGGUGGGAGGCUUUGAUCCAUAGAUUUUGGUUUAUGGUGAGCCAUUGUUGAGAUACCACUCUUUUUUAUUUGGGUAGCUAACUAGCAUGAGUUAUCCUCAUGUAGGACAAUGUCUGGUGGGUAGUUUGACUGGGGCGGUCGCCUCCCAAAAUGUAACGGAGGCUUACAAAGGUUAGUUCAGAACGGUUGGAAAUCGUUCGUAGAGUAUAAAGGCAUAAACUAGCUUAACUGUGAGGCAUACAAGCCGAGCAGAGACGAAAGUCGGUCUUAGUGAUCCGGUGGUUCUGUGUGGAAGGGCCAUCGCUCAAAGGAUAAAAGGUACCCCGGGGAUAACAGGCUGAUCUCCCCCAAGAGCUCACAUCGACGGGGAGGUUUGGCACCUCGAUGUCGGCUCAUCGCAUCCUGGGGCUGGAGCAGGUCCCAAGGGUAUGGCUGUUCGCCAUUUAAAGCGGUACGCGAGCUGGGUUCAGAACGUCGUGAGACAGUUCGGUCCCUAUCUGCCGUGGGCGUAAGAAGAUUGAGGAGAGUUGACCCUAGUACGAGAGGACCGGGUCGAACCAACCACUGGUGUAUGGGUUGUUCUGCCAAGAGCAUCGCCCAGUAGCUAAGUUGGGAUGUGAUAAGAGCUGAAAGCAUCUAAGCUCGAAGCCAACUCCAAGAUGAAUCUUCUUUUAAGAGCUCUUAUAGACUAUAAGUUUGAUAGGCUGGAUGUGUAAGUGAUGUAAGUCAUUUAGCUGACCAGUACUAAUAGCUCGUUUGCUUAUCUUU
rnacentral:rRNA from 3 species